rfam:Neotoma lepida isolate 417 scaffold_363, whole genome shotgun sequence.
GGAGAGGUGGCUCAGUGGUUAAGAGCACUGGCUGCUCUUCCAGAGGUCCUGAGUUCGAAUCCCAGCAACCACA